rnacentral:rRNA from 1 species
UACGGAGGAUGCAAGCGUUAUCCGGAUUUACUAGGUUUAAAGGGUGCGUAGGCGGGGUAUCAAGUCAGUGGUGAAAUCCUGCAGCUCAACUGUAGAACUGCCAUUGAAACUGAUAUUCUUGAGUAUAGUUGAGGUAGNCGGAAUGUGUUAAGUAGCGGUGAAAUGCAUAGAGAUAACACAGAACACCGAUUGCGAAGGCAGCUUACUAAACUAUUACUGACGCUGAGGUACGAAAGCGUGGGGAGCGAACAGGAUUAGAUACCCUGGUAGUCCACGCCGUAAACGUUGAUCACUAGUUGUUUGCGAUACAUUGUGAGCGACUGAACAAAAGCAUUAAGUGAUCCACCUGGGGAGUACGUUGGCAACGAUGAAACUCAAAGGAAUUGACGGGGGCCCGCACAAGCGGAGGAACAUGUGGUUUAAUUCGAUGAUACGCGAGGAACCUUACCUGGGCUUAAAUGUAAGACGACUAACAGGGAAACUUGUUAUCUUUCGAGCGUCCUACAAGGUGCUGCAUGGUUGUCGUCAGCUCGUGCCGUGAGGUGUCGGGUUAAGUCCCAUAACGAGCGCAACCCUUAUCGUUAGUUGCCAGCGGGUAAUGCCGGGGACUCUAGCGAAACUGCCAUCGUAAGAUGUGAGGAAGGUGGGGAUGACGUCAAAUCGGCACGGCCCUUAUGUCCAGGGCUACACACGUGUUACAAUGGUCGAAACAAAGGGCAGCUACUUGGUGACAAGAUGCUAAUCUCUAAAAUCGAUCUCAGUUCGGAUCGAAGUCUGCAAUUCGACUUCGUGAAGUUGGAUUCGCUAGUAAUCGCGCAUCAGCAAUGGCGCGGUGAUACGUUCCCGGGCAUUGUACACACCGCCCGUCAAGCCAUGGAAGCUGGGGGUACAUGAAGUCUGUAACCGAGAGGAGCG